CACGUAGGGCGCAAGCGUUGUCCGGAAUUAUUGGGCGUAAAGAGCUCGUAGGCGGUCUGUUGCGUCCGCUGUGAAAACUCGGGGCUCAACCCCGAGCCUGCAGUCGAUACGGGCAGACUAGAGUUCGGUAGGGGAGGACUGGAAUUCCUGGUGUAGCGGUGAAAUGCGCAGAUAUCAGGAGGAACACCGGUGGCGAAGGCGGGGUCUCUGGGCCGAUACUGACGCUGGAGGAGC
rnacentral:rRNA from 1 species